GGCCUGAUGGUCUAGUAGUAUGAUACCUUGUUAGGGUUUUCCGGAGCAGUUUCGAGGUGGUCCCGGGUUCAAUUCCCGGUCAGGCCC